rnacentral:rRNA from 1 species
CCUACGGGUGGCAGCAGUGAGGAAUAUUGGUCAAUGGCCGGAAGGCUGAACCAGCCAUGCCGCGUGAAGGUCAGUGCCCUAUGGGCGUUAAACUUCUUUUGUGCGGGAGCAAUACUGGUCACGUGUGGCCAGACGAGAGUACCGUACGAAUAAGCAUCGGCUAACUCCGUGCCAGCAGCCGCGGUAAUACGGGGGAUGCAAGCGUUAUCCGGAUUUAUUGGGUUUAAAGGGUGCGUAGGCUGUGAGGUAAGUCAGUUGUGAAAGUUUGCGGAUCAACCGUAAAAUUGCAAUUGAUACUGGCAGUCUUGAGUACAGUUGAGGUAGGCGGAAUUCGUGGUGUAGCGAUGAAAUGCUUAGAUAUCACGAAGAACCCCGAUUGCGAAGGCAGCUUACUAAACUGUGACUGACAUUGAUGCUCGAAAGUGUGGGUAUCAAACAGGAUUAGAUACCCCUGUAGUC